GGGUCGCUAUGGGUCGCAAUGUGUCGGUGUGCGUCCCCCUGGUGGCUGUGUGUCUCUAUGUGUCUCAGUGUGUCUCUAUGGGUCCCUAUGGGUCUCAGUGGGUCGCUAUGGGUCGCACUGUGUCGGUGUGUGUCCCUAUGUGUCUCUAUGUGUCUCAGUGUGUCCCUAUGGGUCCCUAUGUGUCUCUAUGGGUCUCUAUGUGUCCCUAUGUGUCUCCAUGGCAUCCCUAUGGGUCCCUAUGGGUCGCUAUGGGUCGCUAUGGGUCGCUAUGGGUCGCACUGUGUCGGUGUGCAUCCCCCCGGUGGCUGUGUGUCUCUAUGUGUCCCUAUGUGUCCCUAUGUGUCCCUACGUGUCUCCAUGGCGUCCCUACGGGUCCCUAUGGGUCGCUAUGGGUCGCUAUGGGUCGCUAUGGGUCGCAGUGUGUCGGUGUGCGUCCCCCCGGUGGCUGUGUGUCUCUAUGUGUCCCUAUGUGUCCCUAUGUGUCUCUAUGGGUCCCUAUGGGUCCCUAUGGGUCGCUAUGGGUCGCUAUGGGUCGCUAUGGGUCCCCAUGUGUCGGUGUGUGUCCCCCCGGUGGCUGUGUGUCUCUAUGUGUCCCUAUGUGUCCCUAUGGGUCCCUACGUGUCCCUGUGUGUCUCUAUGUGUCCCUAUGUGUCCCUAUGUGUCCCUAUGGGUCUCUAUGUGUCCCUAUGUGUCCCUCUGUGUCCCUAUGGGUCUCUAUGGGUCUCUAUGUGUUUCUAUGGGUCUCUAUGUGUCUCUAUGGGGUCUCUAUGGG
ensembl:lncRNA